UUGAAUUUUGGCUGGGAUAAGAUAUUAAAGAUUCAUUAGUAUCCAAAGAAUUUGGGAAUCAGAAAGAAGCUCAGAACUCAUGUGGUCCAACUCCCCUAUUUUACAAAUUGAUUAUUUAUUCAACUCAUGUUUACUGAGAACCUGUUAUAUGCUGUACAGUGCUGAGGAUACAAAUUCUCAUGCCUUUCAGGAGAUUUUAGUGUAGUAGUAGCAAAUGACAAGAAUACAGAUGCCUUAGAGCCCUGGUAAUGUGAGGGUUGGGUGGCAGGGGGCUUAAUGGAACACAAUGAAUAGGCAUUCCAUGCACAUUUUGGAGAUUUAGAAAAUGUCUUUGUUAAGUACGGGGAAAGACACAAAAGAAAUAGAAGAUAGCAACUCAAAAGGAUUAGAAUUAAGGCCUCAGGGAUAAAGGGACUUGAAUUAAAUAUCUAAGAACUAGACUGUUUGAAUCUAACCUUUCCUUCUUCCCAGUUCCUUGACAGAGGCAAAAGGAUGUUGUCAUUAGACCCGCACAGCAUUUGCCUUACCAAGAGCCUGGCCAGGGCUGUAAGAAUCUGUGUAGCUAGCAUGAAGGAUCAACACAACUGUUGUCCCAGGCAAAACCAACUACAGUGCUUCUCU
rnacentral:lncRNA from 1 species